rnacentral:rRNA from 1 species
AGUGAACGCUGGCGGUAGGCCUAACACAUGCAAGUCGAACGGCAGCACAGUAAGAGCUUGCUCUUACGGGUGGCGAGUGGCGGACGGGUGAGGAAUACAUCGGAAUCUACUUUUUCGUGGGGGAGAACGUAGGGAAACUUACGCUAAUACCGCAUACGACCUACGGGUGAAAGCAGGGGAUCUUCGGACCUUGCGCGAGUGAAUGAGCCGAUGUCGGAUUAGCUAGUUGGCGGGGUAAAGGCCCACCAAGGCGACGAUCCGUAGCUGGUCUGAGAGGAUGAUCAGCCACACUGGAACUGAGACACGGUCCAGACUCCUACGGGAGGCAGCAGUGGGGAAUAUUGGACAAUGGGCGCAAGCCUGAUCCAGCCAUGCCGCGUGUGUGAAGAAGGCCUUCGGGUUGUAAAGCCCUUUUGUUGGGAAAGAAAAGCAGCAGGUUAAUACCCCGCUGUUCUGACGGUACCCAAAGAAUAAGCACCGGCUAACUUCGUG